GAUGAACGCUGGCGGCGUGCCUAAUACAUGCAAGUCGAGCGAACAGACGAGGAGCUUGCUCCUCUGACGUUAGCGGCGGACGGGUGAGUAACACGUGGAUAACCUACCUAUAAGACUGGGAUAACUUCGGGAAACCGGAGCUAAUACCGGAUAAUAUAUUGAACCGCAUGGUUCAAUAGUGAAAGACGGUUUUGCUGUCACUUAUAGAUGGAUCCGCGCCGCAUUAGCUAGUUGGUAAGGUAACGGCUUACCAAGGCAACGAUGCGUAGCCGACCUGAGAGGUUGAUCGGCCACUGUGGAGCGAGGACACGUUCCAGACACCUACGGGAGGCAGAAGUAGGGAAUCUGCGGCAAUGGGCGAAAGCCUGACGGAGCAACGCGGCGUGAGUGAUGAAGGUCUGCGGAUCGUAAAACUCUGUUAUUAGGGAAGAACAAAUGUGUAAGUAACUAUGCACGUCUUGACGGUACCGAAUCAGAAGGCCACGGCUAACUACGU
rnacentral:rRNA from 1 species